rnacentral:rRNA from 8 species
GACUCUCGGCAACGGAUAUCUCGGCUCUCGCAUCGAUGAAGAGCGCAGCGAAAUGCGAUACGUGGUGCGAAUUGCAGAAUCCCGUGAACCAUCAAGUCUUUGAACGCAAGUUGCGCCCGAGGCCAAUCGGCUAAGGGCACGUCUGCCUGGGCGUCAAG